rnacentral:lncRNA from 1 species
AAAGAAAAACUAUCAUCACCUAUACCAUUGUGUAAGUUUUAUUAGAACAAGUGAAAAUCUAAAUGAACUAGUUUAAAAAUUGUUUCCCUUCAAAUUUUAUGAGAGAAAUAGAAUAAAAAGUGAACUCAUAAGUAUCUGGUAUUUCUUCUUAAAAAUUUUUUCAGUAUACGUUUUAGAUUUCGUUUUACUACACACUUAGCUCAAGCUUGUCUUCUAAAUUAAUCUGCAUCUACUACAUUGACCUAUAAUGCUUGAUGAUGUUCAUAAAGAUUAUCUUCAGUCAUCCUAAGAGUGCCUUUUUAAUAUUAAGGACAUAGAAGCACCCUCUUAGUAUUGGUUCUAAAUAUGAGGAAUGAACUCUCAAAUGCUCAUAUAUUAAAUUAUAUUCUCCAUAAUUUGUAGAUUUGCAGAUUAUGUUCAUUGUAAUUUGUGUAUUUCUUUUUAUCUGUUGAAUAAUGGCAGUCUCAGAGGCAAAGUUUAGUUAAAUAUCUACUAACUUAAUGUAAAGCAUUGUAUAUACUCUAACUAUGGUACACAAUUAUAUUCCCUGGUUUCUGGAAGCUUAUAAAAUGAAUAUACCAGUGGUCCUGGUAUGUACAAAACAGAAGGCUGCAUGGAGACAAAAAUCUGAUGCUUAGAUCUUGCCUUCAAGGAGCUUGUAAUUUAGUUUGUAGAUAAUGCAUAAGAAUGAAAAUUAUUUCCAUAUAAUCAGACUAUGGCUUUCCAGUAGGUCAGUAUAAAAGUGAUUUUUUUUUUUUUUUUGAGAUGGGGUCUUACCUUUUUUUUUUUUUUUUUGAGAUAGGGUCCAGCCAGGCUGGAGUGCAGUGGCACAGUCUCAGCUUACUGCAACCUCUACCUCCUGGGCUCACACGAUCCUCCCAUCUCAGCCUCCUGAGUAACUGGGACUACAGGUGCGUGCCACCAUGCCCAGCUAAUUUUUGUAUUUUUUUGUAGAAACGGGAUUUUGCCAUGUCACCCAGACUGGAAGAGUGACUUUUAAUUGCCUAGUGAAUUAAUAUGUUUGUGAUGUAUAUCUUCAGAUGAAGAUGCCACUAAAGAUUGGAGGAUUCUGUAAAGACAAGGGAGAAGGGGCUUGGUCUUGAUAUUGAAAGUUGGAUAGUAUUUAUUUAUUUAUUGAGACAGGGUCUCACUCUGUCACCCAGGCUGGAGUGCAGUGGCCCAAUCUCCCUUUACUGCAAGCUCCGCCUCCUGGGUCCAAGCAAUUCUCCUGUCUCAGCCUCCCGAGUAGCUGGGACUACAGGCACGUGCCACCAUGCCAGGCUAAUUUUUUGGAUUUUAGCAGAGAUGGGGUUUCACCAUGUUGCCCUGGCUGGUCUCGAACUCCUGAGCUCAAGCAAUCUUCCCAUCUCAGCCUCACAAAGUGCCAGGAUUACAGGCAUGAGCCACCACGCCUGGCCAAAAGUCAGAUAGUUUUAGAUAGAGUGUUGGCAUUCUCAGUAGAGGGAGCAACUUAUGCAUCAGUCUUAAAGAUGAGAAAACAAUAUAUAUAUUUUUUAAAUUUUAUUAUUAUUAUACUUUAAGUUUUAGGGUACAUGUGCACAACGUGCAGGUUUGUUACAUAUGUAUACAUGUGCCAUGUUGGUGUGCUGCACCCAUUAACUCAUCAUUUAGCAUUAGGUAUAUCUCCUAAUGCUAUCCCUCCCCCCUCCCCCCACCCCACAACAGUCCCCAGUGUGUGAUGUUCCCCUUCCUGUGUCCACGUGUUCUCAUUGUUCAAUUCCCACCUAUGAGUGAGAACAUGCGGUGUUUGGUUUUUUGUCCUUGUGAUAGUUUGCUAAGAAUGAUGGUUUCCAGCUUCAUCCAUGUCCCUACAAAGGACAUGAACUCAUCAUUUUUUAUGGCUGCAUAGUAUUCCAUGGUGUAUAUGUGCCACAUUUUCUUAAUCCAGUCUAUCAUUGUUGGACAUUUGGGUUGGUUCCAAGUCUUUGCUAUUAUGAAUAGUGCCACAAUAAACAUACGUGUGCAUGUGUCUUUAUAGCAGCAUGAUUUAUAAUACUUUGGGUAUAUACCCAGUAAUGGGAUGGCUGGGUCAAAUGGUAUUUCUAGUUCUAGAUCCCUGAGGAAUUGCCACACUGACUUCCACAAUGGUUGAACUAGUUUACAGUCCCACCAACAGUGUAAAAGUGUUCCUAUUUCUCCACUUCCUCUCCAGCACCUGUUGUUUCCUGACUUUUUAAUGAUUGUCAUUCU